GAUGAAGAACGUAGCGAAAUGCGAUACGUAAUGUGAAUUGCAGAAUUCAGUGAAUCAUCGAAUCUUUGAACGCAUAUUGCGCUCUCUGGUAUUCCGGAGAGCAUGCUUGUUUGAGUAUCAGUAAACACCUCAACUUCCAUAUCUUUUUUGAAAUGGGAGUUGGACUUGAGUGAUCCCAACGCUUUUCCUCACCGAAAAGUGGCGGGUUACUUGAAAUGCAGGUGCAGCUGGACUUUUCUCUGAGCUAUAAGCAUAUCUAAUUAGUCUGCCUAAAAAACAGAUUAUUACCUUUGCUGCAGCUAACAUAAAGGAGAUUAGUUCUUGUGCUGACUGAUGCAGGAUUCACAAAGACGGCUUCGGCCGACUUUGUAAACUCGAUCUCAAAUCAAGUAAGACUACCCGCUGAACUUAAGCAUAUCAAUAAGCGGAGGA
rnacentral:misc_RNA from 1 species